UCACUAGUGAUUAUUCCGGUUGAUCCUGCCGGAGGCCAUUGCUAUUGGGAUUCGAUUUAGCCAUGCUAGUCGCACGAGUUCAGACUCGUGGCGAAUAGCUCAGUAACACGUGGCCAAACUACCCUUCGGAGCUCCAUACCCUCGGGAAACUGAGGCUAAUAGAGCUCCACCAUCUCGUGAAUGGAUUGUCACGCUCCGGCCAGUGUCGGCGAUAGAGCGUGUACCCACCGUGCAUAUCGUACGUCAUGAGUCGAACCGGACGAUUUACAGAUCGCCUGCGGGCAGCAGCCGACUUACUGCAGCAGGCGUAAGGAAUCCAGUGCGCCAGCUGAGCUGCGCUUUGUACACGUAGGAGGUGUACGAAUAGGCUGGGCAGACCGUGCCAGCGCCGCGGUAAUACCGGCAGCCCGAGUGAUGGCCGAUCUAUUGGGCCUAAAGCGUCCGUAGCUGGCGCACAAGUCCAUCGGAAAUCCACCCGCCCAACGGGUGGGCGUCCGGUGGAAACUGUGUGGCUUGGACCGGAAGGCGCGACGGGUACGUCCGGGGUAGGAGUGAAAUCCCGUAAUCCUGGACGGACCGCCGAUGGCGAAAGCACGUCGCGAGGACGGAUCCGACAGUGAGGGACGAAAGCCAGGGUCUCGAACCGGAUUAGAUACCCGGUAGUCCUGGCCGUAAACAAUGCCUGCUAGGUGUGGCUCCGCUACGAGCGGGUGCUGUGCCGUAGGGAAGCCGCUAAGCAGGCCGCCUGGGAAGUACGUCCGCAAGGAUGAAACUUAAAGGAAUUGGCGGGGGAGCACUACAACCGGAGGAGCCUGCGGUUUAAUUGGACUCAACGCCGGACAUCUCACCAGCUCCGACUAUAGUAAUGACGGUCAGGUUGAUGACCUUACCACGACGCUAUAGAGAGGAGGUGCAUGGGCGCCGUCAGCUCGUACCGUGAGGCGUCCUGUUAAGUCAGGCAACGAGCGAGACCCGCACUUCUAAUUGCCAGCAGCAGUUUCGACUGGCUGGGUACAUUAGAAGGACUGCCGCUGCUAAAGCGGAGGAAGGAACGGGCAACGGUAGGUCAGUAUGCCCCGAAUGAGCUGGGCUACACGCGGGCUACAAUGGUCGAGACAAUGGGUUGCUAUCUCGAAAGAGAACGCCAAUCUCCUAAACUCGAUCGUAGUUCGGAUUGAGGGCUGAAACUCGCCCUCAUGAAGCUGGAUUCGGUAGUAAUCGCAUUUCAAUAGAGUGCGGUGAAUACGUCCCUGCUCCUUGCACACACCGCCCGUCAAAGCACCCGAGUGAGGUCCGGAUGAGGCCACCACACGGUGGUCGAAUCUGGGCUUCGCAAGGGGGCUUAAGUCGUAACAAGGUAGCCGUAGGGGAAUCUGCGGCUUGGAUCACCUCCU
rnacentral:rRNA from 1 species